AUUCAGAUUUACUAUGAUGUGAACACAAUUAGUCAGCUACCUACGCUAAGCAAAAUAGUUCCAAAACUUCGCAGUAACUCCAAAAUCAUAGUUCCCUAUCUAUUUUAAAAUUGACUGGCCAAUUUUGUACUAAAUUUAGCAAUCGUCUUUUAAAAUUGUAUGUAUAUUUUUGCUUUACGCGAUUUUAAUAUUACUACGCCAGCGGUCGAUCAUAGCCAAAGUACUUGCAUAAAUAUAGUACAAAUUACAUGUAGUCACAAGUUAAUUAAGUGUCAUAGAACUCAAAAAUUUAGCAAGUAAUGGAAUACGGAUUUCAGAUCAGCUAACUUUAAAGCUUAUAGGGCCUAAUGCUUCAUAAGUGUAAAUUUAAGAAAAACAAUGCAUGCGUAUGAAUACGAACUAUUUUCGCCCUUACGUCAUUUUACCGCAAUCGCCAUUGUUUACAAGUUCAUCCGUGAAAGAUUGAGAAGUUUAUAUAGAAGUUCCACGUGUUAAAACGAGUUGUUUGUGAAUAAAGGCUUGUUUGUUAGAUUUCAAUUGUGGCUCAGUUGGUUGUUUGCUGAGAAGCUGUGAAACAUAAUUAUACAGGCCAUUAAGGAGGUUUUUGUCAGAUUGAUGAAUGUGAAAUUAAGAGGACCCAUUUUGAGGAUGCUUUUUAUGAAUGGAAUCACGAGAGAUGAAGUCUAAAAUGUGAUACUGUCAAUGUGACUAACCUUGAAGUAAACAGAUGACACAAUGUUUUUUCAAUGUCAUGGGCAUAUAAUGAAGAGAAAACAGAGAUGCUUGUUUGACAGAUACAGUAAUAGUAGGAGUUAUGAGGGAAGAUAGAAUGCAGUGAUAACUAUAUUGAGGCACCACUUCAUCACCAAGAACAUGAAAUGAAUUAUCAAUGUUUUCAAUGUGUUUGAACACCCAUUUUAAAUAAUACAGCUCAGAGUGAAUUUUUCAAAAUAAUUAAUUCUGUUUUCAAAGUUUUUUAUUUAGAUGUUAGUUGAUCUUGUCAAGUACUUAAUUUUUUUAGGGAUGGCAACAAUUACUAAAAUCAAUACUCGAGUACUCGGUCAUUUAGAGUAUUCGGUUACUGGGAUGAUUUCCAAUGAUCUUUAAAUUUUUAUCACACAAUAUCAACACCGUCUGCAUGCUACCUUCAUUUCUAUUUUAAUUCAUAGAAUUUGUAGCUAUAAAUAGGAUUGCAAGAAAUACAUAUAAUAAAUAUAAGCAUAAGAAAUGUCAA